GGAAUUAUCAGAGUAACAAUAGUUCCUGUUACUGACUUGAUAUGGUCUCUGCCAGAAUAGCUUCUCAGAUUAAUGGCCACUCUCAGGGGAAGCAUUUCUCCUUGCAUUGGUUUGCUGGUAUGGAUGGCCCUUAGAUUUUGGCAUGAGUGAUUAUGCAGCCUAUUUGAAGAAAACCUGUUUUCAGGACCUUUUUAAUUAAAUAUGGCCUGUUACAUGAGUUAAAGUGUCAUACGAUACCAUUUUUUGACCACUUAGUUGAUGCCUCUGAAAGGAAGAGAGAAUCAGAUCGCUAAAAUUUGAUGUGUCGUCAGUGUGGAUCCUACUCAGUAGUGUCACAACGAGGCUGAAAAUCAUAUUAAGUGCUUUUAGGACAGAAACGUAAACUGCUCAGGUAAAAUAACCUUAUAAAGAGAAAUAAGCAUAUAUUGCAGAGGCCUUGGCUAGGUUCAUGAUGACACAGGACCUUGUCUGAACAUAAUGAUUUCAAAAUUUGAGCUUAAAAAUGACACUCUGAAAUCCAGUCAGUGUGCCUCACUAGACUUUUCGAUUUCAAGAUUUUCUGCAGAAAAUGUUUUGAAAACUUUGAAUACUUAAAAAUGGCAGGUGUAGUAUUGCACUUUGCUAGUUGCUCAGAUACCCUUUUUUAUUUGUAUAGAUAUUCUGAGUUCCUUUUUUUUUCUACAUGUUGUACGUUGUCGAAAGCUAAAAGGAAACUUAUCCUUGGAUCACGGAAGGCAGAGGCAUUUGGUGAGAUGGAAACAAGGAUGUGUAAAAAUGAGACGACCACCUCUCGGAUUAAAAAAAAAAAGUGCCAGAGUUCUAGGGUUCUAAGUGAUGUCCAGGAAGGAGGAGGAAUAAUAUUUAUGGAGCAUAUAUUAUGGAACACACCAUUAUGAAUGGUUUUUGAUUGAUCUCACAAAGAGCAUGUGCUUUAGACAUUAAUGCAGCGACUACCAUGAAACAGAGUAUUGGAUUACCUAAGGAAAGAAGCAGAGGAUGGAAUUUGAGGCAAUCAGGAUGAGUGAAAAAUUGAUUUGCAGCUGACCUGCAAAUGGAAUCAUCAGGAACAUCCCUUUCUCAUGGAGUCCCUUAAUUUACAAGUUAACUGCAAACAUAGGAGAUGAUAGUUCCAAGAAGGAACAUUUUAUCGUCUUUGUUUUUAAUCUCAAGAAUGGUACCUACCAUCAGUGAAUGACCUGUUGCAGUGCUUUCAUUGAAGUGUUCUUCGUUCCCUCAGCAAUAUGAUUGUGAUGACUGAAAAAGGGAAACUGUGCCACUAUUUGUACCAUCAUUUUCACCAAAAUCUAAAAAUGCUUUUUAUGACGUAUGGAGACAUUCUUCAUGUUUGUUUCAGUGGACACUCCUUGCAGAUGUAAAAAACUGAGAAAACUCACUUUUGGAAAGUGACCUAAAGAGUGUCAUUGAAGUGAAUUUUAAGUAGGCACGAUGAUUGUUUUCAUGGUUGCUGUUGGAUCAUAUCUCAGGAGCUGGAAUGACAGACAUUAUUGAACAAAGAAAUCAGGAUAGUGGAACUUAAAGGGCUUCAUCUCAGUGCUUUCAUAAGUAUGAAGUGCAUAUAUUUAUAAUUUUCACUAAUCACAGGAAUAUUCCCUCUGUAUACUUGCAUUUUUUUCUAUCAAUUGACGCUUACAAUUAUUUUUGCAAGUUGGAAAAAAAUGCAGUAUUAAUUUCAUUUGCAACAAAUUUAAUAGAUUAAUUAGGAGAGAAUAGAUAUCUUUAAAAUUGAGUCUUCUGUCCAACUGCAAGUUAUAGCUGAGGUGGUACCAGUUUAAGAAGUGAGAACUUCUUCACUGACUGAAAUUUGCAUAUCAAUCCAAAUCAUUGUGCUUAUUUACUAUUUUUGUAGACGUCAUUCUUCAAAAGUGCUGCAUCUUCAAUAGUCAAGGAGGACAAAGACAUCUUUCCUGCAGGUGGUGACCAUGUGGAUAAUAGGAUCAUAGACAAAUGGUGGUUCCAUCUACAGCAUCACCGAAAUGCUGUUGUUACUGCUUCUUUCUGGGAUCUUCUUGCAUCUUUGCUUCUAAAGGGGCACACCUUUUAUAGAAGUACGUCCAGGAAUAGAAGUGACCUGCUUUUUCGCAAGUAAUUGCCUGGAAUGUUUUUAUGUACUUCUCUGCACUCUCAAUACAUUUCAUGCUUCCCUCUAUUUUUGUAUAUUAACUCAUUGUAUUUCUUAAAUUUAUAUUUUACUUUAUGAAUGGAAGUGAGAUUUGUGUAUGGUAAAUAUAAUUAAUUCAACCCCAUGGAUACGUUAGUCACUGUCCAGAUGAUGGCAAGUCUUUCUCAGAAGCAGAGGGCCUUGGUGUGCCAGUGAUUUUUUUUCCCCAUGUGUAAGAUACUUUUUUUCCUCAUUUGAAUCAGGAGCCCACAGUUUUUAGACAAGUCCCAAAUGAAAUCUUAAGCAUUUGUGUUAUCUGGACUAGACCUUCUGUAGUAUCCUUUUUGUUAGACCUAGUAUAUCUCAUUGCAGAUCAGGAUCUGAGAUUGACUAUAGUUCACCUCUUUCCAAGUACACAAACUUGGAUGACAUGACAACUGAGUGUGUAAGGGAGAGCGAGACCCUUGCACUGCCAUUUGAGCCCUUGUGAUCUCAUCUUGUAGAACAUGUUGUACAAUCAUUUUAUUGGUAUCAUUAGUGUUAUUUGGGGCUGGAAUAAAAAUCUCAGUGCACCAAAGAGAUUUCCCCUUUAUCCACGUUACCCUGGUUUUCCUUUGUUUUCUGUUUAACCUAAACGGGCUUAAUAUAAAAUAGUGCUUAUUUGGUGUUUUAAUUGUCUGCUUCUAUAACAUAAGCUGCACUGUCCAUUGGGGAACUGCUCACCAUAUUGCCCAACCUGUCUUGAUAGGUUUAUACAUGGGAGGCAUUCAGUAAUAUUAAUUACCUCUCUAGACCAGUGUUAGCAAUAACAAACACUUGCUAGAAUUUUAAGACUAUAUAAUCAAUCACUUUGAUGUCAGUUAAUCCUACCAACACAAGAUUAAAGGUUUAAAAAUCUCAUACGUGUACAGCCAUUAGUGUCUCCUUUCAUACUAUAUUAUUUUGUUCAUUGGCAGCUAGAUUUUUAGGUAGAACUUGUGUUCCUUUUUGCAAUGCUCAUUUAUUUUACCUGGACAGAAGGUGCUCUUCUGUCUCUUCUCCAAAGUUAAUUUAUCUCAUACUAUUUCUUGUGUUAAUAUUUUCCAAGUUCAGUAUGCUGUUCUGGUUAUAAGAAGAUCAGUGUCCUAAUCACACACUUUUACAUUAUAUGAAACAUCAUACAGAGUUUUGUAGUCUGUAUAACAAUACACAGAGGUAGCAAAAUUUGUAAAAGAGCAGACUAUAUAGUCCAUACUGUAGUAACUACUCAACAUUGCCAUUAUACGUGAAAUCGGCUAUAACCAAUUCAUAAACAAAUGAAUUUGGCCGUGUUCUAGUAAAACUUAUUUACAAAAACAUGUGUUAGGCCAGAUUUGGACCACAGGCUGUAGAUUUCUGACCUCUGGCUUACAGCAGAAGUUUAUUAUGAUCCUGGGGAAGGUGGAUAUACAUGGAAGGCAGAAGCGAGAAGAUGUAUUCCAUCCCAUGUCAUUUUUCUGAACCCUCAACGUAGGAAGUUAAACUAAAACAUGGGGCAGAAUCUGCUUUAAGCCUUUGAAUUCUUGGCUCUUAAAGCCAGGUUGAGGGUUAUGUGUUUUUAUUCUUUUAUAUCUCCUUUUCACUUAGGCUUGGCAACUAGUUCAUUGAAACAGAGCCAACAAGAAUGAGUGAGUCACUCAGUGAUAUGAAGCAAGCUGUGGUCAUUUAUCUACUACCUUCCAUACCUACUUCCUAGGUUUGAUAAGUAGUGUUUGUAGUGUAGUUGUCAGUAACUUUUCUCAGCUUACAUAAGUUUAUGUGGAAUUCAUUUACAAAUGUGUGAUUAUUACGAUAGAUGUUAUUUUAUAAAUUUCAAGGUUCUUUAAUACAGCAUGGACAUGUUUCUAAAUCAAUAAAUAUAGCUUACCCAC
rnacentral:lncRNA from 1 species